rnacentral:other from 1 species
GCCCUGCUGUGUGCGUAACGACCCAUGUUUUGAGCCAACACAUUGAGUAAGGGAGCCUAACUCUGAUUGUGGCAUGCAGGCCUCCCAGCCGUGGAGGAGCGUAAAGCCGUCAGGCGGCGCCCACCUGCCGAGGGCAGGUUCAAAACAGGGGUGAUAAACGGCAUAGUGGGGA